UGGGUAUAUUAAAGUUCUGUUCUAUACAAUACUAGGUAAACAUAAUUUACUUAUAUCACACUUGAGGCGUUUCUCCUUUUAUGAAAUAUAAUACAAUAAUCAUACAUUUUGCUUUCUGCAUUAAUUUUCAGUUGCUUGUAAUAUUGUUUGAUUUCUUUCGCAUAAACAGAAGUACACGUUACCCCUUUUAAUUAAUACUUAUUAUUUCCACACUGUAAAUGGUAUUUUUCUUAGAACACAACAUUAUGGUCCCAUUUUUUUACCAUCUGCCUGUUUAGUAUAUUCCUUUCAUAUACAAUGUAUACAUCCUUAAAUAGUUCUCUGCAGCAUGUAUUUACAUUCUUAGUUCUGGACUUCGUUGGAUUUAUGUUGCGGGUGAAAGAACAAUGGAUCAGAGCUUAAGGUGGUUUUAUGUAAAAAGUUUGUGGUCACGAUUUCCAAUAUAUGUUGGAUUUCUAGGUAGGUUCCGAGAUACACGCCAUGAAUGUUUUUAAAUGACUCAGUUGUCCUACUAAUUUUACUACCCACUUUUAAUUGUUCGAAACAAAAUCUAAGGGACGGAAAUGGUAUUUAAAUAGUUAUUUCUAGACCAUGGUGUGUAAAUACUGUAAAGUAAGCUUUGCUACUGAUUGUUUUGAUGAGAAAUCUUUUCCUGUAGGGUCUAUCAUCAGUAAUCAAUCAGGCUUCUUCUAGGCACAUUUUACAGAGGUUUAUGAUCGGUGGGGAACUUCUAUCUCAGCUCUCCAUUCUUCCUCUGGCCUCUUUUCAUGUUGUCAUUCCAGAGGUCAGAAUCUGACUUAGUGAAGAUGAUCGUUUCCCCGCUUAUUAUCGGUCUGAACCUUAAUAUCAGUGAAAGAGUGCUCGACGAUGAAAUUAUGUAUGACACAGAUGAGCUUUUUCUAGGUCAAGCAGCAGGAAAAUUAACCAUGUGAGUUUUUUUGGUGUGUUCUAUAGUAAAUAUUAAUUACUAACCUAUAUAAAUAUGAUGCAUCUAUUUAUAGGUACUGGCUUGCUUUUGAAUAUUGUUGCAGAUGAAGCACUAAAAUCAAUGUAGCAUUAUCAAUUGGACACAGUUAGUAUCUAUAGCAGUAGCUGGUAAGAACUAAAUCUACCGCAGAGAGCAAGUACUGUUUAGUCUACAAAUGUCUUUUAAUCAAUGAGUUCUAUCUUUCUGACAGAUAUGCACAUGAUGCACCUGUUUUUUUUGCUUAUGAUAGGUUCUCACUUGCUUUUGAAUAGUUGAUGCCAACCUCUUAAAGUGUGGAAGACUGUUUAAUCAUGGCUAUUACUACAGCUGUUAGACUCGAGCCUUUUCUUUAUAACUCGAAAUAAUUUUUAUUUCCCAUCGUUUGCAUAUGCUCUCUUCUCUUAAGCAGUAAUUUUUUCGCCAUGCCCUUGUGUAUAUUCGUGUUACAAAUUCAGCUCCGCCUUUGUGUGUUCUAGAUGGUGUUGCCACUGAAGUCAGGUGUUUGCCUUUCCCCCACCCUGUUCUUUUUGUUUACCUAGAUGUUUGCAUGUUCUGUUUCUAAUAAGGGCGUGCCCUGUGGGUAUUUUUCAUGUUGUGUUGGUUUGGUUGUUUUCAUUUUAUUCCUGCCAUACCACAUGGUAUUAUCUGUCUUCUCUUCCUGUAUUCAUUUGUUGCGGUUGGUACUUCAUAGUGUCAUUUGCCAUCCCAUUCCUACCUAUGCCCAAGGUGGGCGGUGAUGUUUAUGUCCUGGGAGCUGUUGCUGAUCUCAAGGUGGUACAAACCUGGAUAAACUCUUGACUCCAUUCAUGAGUCUGUAAUAUCCAUGAAAGUUUCCUCACUCAUUGGUUUAUUCCAGAUUGGUAGUUCUUCAUGUGUGUAUGGGCAAUGUUGUCAGCAAUAUUGCAAACAGUUUAGCUGAUAUCCCGAAUUAAGGUUUGCUUGAAAUUGUCAA